rnacentral:rRNA from 1 species
GACGAACGCUGGCGGCGCGCUUAACACAUGCAAGUCGAACGGAAAGGCCUGCUUUCCCUUGUGGAUUGCGGGUACUCGAGUGGCGAACGGGUGAGUAACACGUGAGUGAUCUGCCCCCAACUUGGGUAUAAGCCUGGGAAACUGGGUCUAAUUCCCGAUAGUACUGCAGGGUGGUGCCUGUGGUGGAAAACGAUUUUCUAGUGGUUGGGGAUGAGCUCGCGGCCUAUCAGCUUGUUGGUGGGGUAAUGGCCUACCAAGGCGGCGACGGGUAGCCGGCCUGAGAGGGUGGACGGCCACAUUGGGACUGAGAUACGGCCCAGACUCCUACGGGAGGCAGCAGUGGGGAAUAUUGCACAAUGGGCGGAAGCCUGAUGCAGCGACGCCGCGUGGGGGAUGACGGCCUUCGGGUUGUAAACUCCUUUCGACCGCGAGGAAGCCACCUGGAUGGAAGGGUGGUGACGGUAGUGGUAGAAGAAGCACCGGCUAACUACGUG